UUGUACACACCGCCCGUCGCUCUUACCGGUGGAUUUCUCUGUGAGUUUGAAGGACUGGCCUUCUGUGCUAUGGAAAUUCAAACGAACAGUGUGAUCUAAAGGAAAGAGAAGUCGUAACAAGGCAUCGGUAGGUGAACCUGCCGAUGGAUCA
rnacentral:rRNA from 1 species